rnacentral:tRNA from 1 species
GGAAGAGGAUGCGGUCUGGUGGCCGUCCCGGGCUUCAAACCCGGUGGGGGUUUGUUUGUGCAGGCCCCGGUGGGUUCGAUCCCCACUCCUUCCG